UACGGGGGGGGCAAGCGUUGUUCGGAAUUACUGGGCGUAAAGGGUUCGUAGGUGGCCUACUAAGUCAGACGUGAGAUCCCUCAGCUUAACUGGGGAACUGCGUCUGAUACUGGGGGGCUUGAGGACAGGAGAGGAACGCGGAAUUCCAGGUGUAGCGGUGAAAUGCGUAGAUAUCAGGAGGAACACCGAUGGCGAAGGCAGGUCUCUGGGCCACUACUGACGCUGAGAAGCGAAAGCAUGGGGAGCGAACAGG
rnacentral:rRNA from 1 species